CAUUGACACAGUAAACAUCGCGGGAAUAUUACGUUUGUUUAUUUCCGAGGAACGAACACAAAACUCCAUUCUGCGUGGAAUGUUCGAGCGAUGAAAAAGAGGCCCUUGACGUACCGUAUUGAUGAUGUUCACAAUCAGCGUCUCUCUGACGGUGGACACGGAGUCGCCGCACGUGUUCUGGGCGUUCACGGCUCCGGAACUUUUGAAAUCGAAUCCGCCCGGAUUAUGGGCGUACACCAGAUUUGACAGAUGACAUCAAGCAGAUAUGACGUCAUCAGAAUCUUUAAGGCUGAAUGAGUUUAGCUCCAGAGCGGAAACGGAAGUGUCUUCUAGGAACUGAUAUGACGUCGUAGGAAACGACGUUAGAACUGGGUCCUACGAGGAAAUGGAUUUUAAAAUAAAUUUCAUUUACAAUUGCAAAAUGGUUUAUAACCGUGUAUUGCUUUCCCCGAGAUUAAAUAAAGAGACCUCUGGAAGCAAAA